AUAAAUUAAUUCAAUGAACACAGAACAAGUACCUACUACAUGGGCAGAAAGGCGGCAUACAGCUGUGGAGUCAAAAAGACCAUAUUUCAAGCCUUUCCUCACGUAUGCUGUCAGUGGACAAAUUAUUGCAGCUUUCAGUGCCCCAGGUGGACAACAUUUUUCAUCAUCAGUCCUUCAGAAUUGUCUUCAGAUUAUUAUAUACUGAGAAUAGCUAAGUCAUUCACAGAUGAUCAUUGUACAAUAUUACUGUUAAUGUGUACAAUUUCCCCCUGGUUCUGCUCACUUCACUUUACAUCAGUUCAUGUAAAUUGUGCUAGGUUUUUCUGAAAGCAUCUUGUUCAUCAUUUCUUACAACACAAUGGUAUUCUAUCAGAAUCAACUUGUUCAGUCAUUCCCUGAGUAAUGGGUAUCCCCUCAGUUUCCAGUUCUUUGUCAACAUAAAAAAGAGCUACUAAAAAUAUAUUUGCACAUAUAAGCCCUUUUCCAUUUUUAAAAAUCUCUUUAGGAUACAGACCUAGUAAUGGUAUUGUUAGGUCAAAGGAUAUGUACAGUUUCAUGGCCCUUUGGGUAUAAUUCCAGAUUGCUCUCCAGAAUGGUUGGAUCAGUUCACAUUUCUACCUACAAUGCAUUAGGGUCCCAACUUUCCUAUAUCCCCUCCAACAGUUAUCAUUUUCCCAUUUCUGUCACAUUAACCAAUCUGAUAGGUGUGAGGUGGUACCUCAUAGCUGUUCAGUUUGCAUUUCUUUAAUCAAUAUUGAUUUAGAGCAUUUUUUCAGAUCACUAGAGCUCUUUGAUUUCUUCAUCUGAAAACUUUCUGUUCAUAUCUGUUGGUCAGUUAUCAAUUGGGAAAUAAUGAAAUUAUUUUUAAAAUUUUCAAUCCCAAAUUCUUUCCCUCCUUCCAGUCCCUCCACCCACAGAGAAGGGAAAUAAUAUGAUAGAUGUGAAGUCGCACAAAACAUUUCUUUAUUAACCAUGUUGAAAAAAGCAAGAAAAAGGUGAA
rnacentral:lncRNA from 1 species